UCCGCCCUGCGAUGUUCGAUAUGGCGAAAAAGCGCGUGGCCUUUCACAGUGAACUGGGAGUUCGAUAUUUGUGCAGCCUACGGCACACCUCCCUUGAGAGGGAGCCGGAUGACUGUCGUGAGAACACCCCCCUAUUGAGGGAAAGGUUCACCCUGCUUUUCAACAGCCAGUCGGCAUGCGCGGGGUUUUU
rnacentral:other from 1 species